GACGAACGCUGGCGCGUGCCUAAUACAUGCAAGUAGAACGCUGAAGGAGACUUGCUUCUCUGGAUGAGUUGCGAACGGGUGAGUAACGCGUAGGUAACCUGCCUGGUAGCGGGGGAUAACUAUUGGAAACGAUAGCUAAUACCGCAUAAGAGUAGAUGUUCAUGACAUUUGCUUAAAAGGUGCAAUUGCAUCAUACCAGAUGGCCUGCGUUGUAUUAGCUAGUUGGUGAGGUAACGGCUCACCAAGGCGACGAUACAUACCGACCUGAGAGGGUGAUCGGCCACACUGGGACUGAGACACGGCCCAGACUCCUACGGGAGGCAGCAGUAGGGAAUCUCGGCAAUGGACGGAAGUCUGACCCGAGCAACGCCGCGUGAGUGAAGAAGGUUUUCGGAUCGUAAAGCUCUGUUGUAAGAGAAGAACGAGUGUGAGAGUGGAAAG
rnacentral:rRNA from 1 species